rnacentral:rRNA from 1 species
CCUACGGGAGGCAGCAGUGGGGAAUAUUGCACAAUGGGGGAAACCCUGAAGCAGCGACGCCGCGUGAGUGAAGAAGGAUUUCGGUAUGUAAAGCCCUAUUAGCAGGGAAGAAAAUGACGGUACCUGACUAAGAAGCCCCGGCUAACUACGUGCCAGCAGCCGCGGUAAUACGGAGGGGGCAAGCGUUACCCGGAAUUAAUGGGCGUAAAGGGGGCGUAGACGGGAGCGCAAGUCUGGAGUGAAAUGCCUGGGCUUAACCCCCGAACUGCUUUUGAAACUGUGCAUCUAGAGUGUGGGAGAGGUAAGUGGAAUUCCUGGUGUAGGGGUGAAAUGCGUAGAGAUUAAGAGGAACACCAGUGGCGAAGGCGGCUUACUGGAAUGUAACUGACGUUGAGGCGCGAAAGCGUGGGGAGCAAACAGGAUUAGAUACCCCAGUAGUC